GUAGGUGGCAAGCGUUGUCCGGAAUUAUUGGGCGUAAAGCGCGCGCAGGCGGUUCUUUAAGUCUGAUGUGAAAGCCCACGGCUCAACCGUGGAGGGUCAUUGGAAACUGGAGAACUUGAGUACAGAAGAGGAAAGCGGAAUUCCACGUGUAGCGGUGAAAUGCGUAGAGAUGUGGAGGAACACCAGUGGCGAAGGCGGCGUUCUGGUCUGUAACUGACGCUGAGGCGCGAAAGCGUGGGGAGCAAACAGGAUUAGAUACCCUGGUAGUCCACGCCGUAAACGAUGAGUGCUAAGUGUUAGGGGGUUUUCCGCCCCCCUUAGUGCUGCAGCUAACGCAUUAAGCACUCCGCCCUGGGAGUACGGCCGCAAGGCUG
rnacentral:rRNA from 1 species